AUUUACUGGGGCUUUGGUGGUGGGGAGAACGAAGAAAAAAGGAGGAAGACUGGCAACAGAUGUUACCUUAGGGUGAAUCUUCCCCUGCAAAAAACUAACAAAGGAAAAAACAUAUACAGUGAUUUCCUUACCAUGGAUAGAAAUUUCCUGGCUUAGCAUAUGGCAGGUUCUUAAUAAAUAUUUAUUGACUGAUCUAUUGAAUGGAGUCAUAGAUGAAUGCUGUGCCCAGUUCUCCCUCUGCAAGUAGCAGGAGAGGCUCUUUUAGGAUACCAGCCAUUUCCUUCUCCCUUAGCCUCACCCAGCAGAGCUGAGAUGUCACCAACUUGGGGCCAAGGAUGCCCAAAAGGAGAUAGGGUGGGCCAUCCUCGUGUCUGUCACUUGUUCUUUUCCAGGAAGAUGCAGCUGGUUUCUGGCUGCCGUGGUGACAAACAGCAGGAGAUAGCUGAGAGCAUCUGUCAACAGGAGAGAACCCAGGGCAAGCCCUGCCCUAGACUGGGUACAAAGUAUGCCCUAACCCCAUCACUAUGGAGAGUCAGCACUGGCCAUCCUCAGUCCUUGAAGGCACAAGCCCCAACUUGGAAGAAACAGAAAACGUUUGCUGAGAUCUUAGAAUAGGUCCACGCCCUGAGAUCUGCAGCAGCAUAUCAUCGUUUGGACAUGUUGUUUCUCAGCUGUGUGAUUCCAAACAAACGUGUGUAACCUCUCAGCCUCAGCUGCAUUUUCUGUGAAAUGGGGACAAUAAGACCUGUUUUAGGGUUGUUGGGAAGAUGAAAUGAUAAAAUGCAUAGAAAAUAGCUGGCACAUAAGAGUUUCUCAAUAAAUCUUAAUUCCCUUUGUCUUAGGCUCUCCAUCUGAUAUCAUUUAAUUUCUUUUCUUUUUAAGUCAUAAUUCUUAAAACACCUCGUUUUCUAAUUUAUUUUCCAGGGUGAUUCCUAGAGGCAGAUACAGUGACCACAGUAUGAUAUUUUGAAAGCACAAAAGACAGAAAAACUCAAAAUCAAGCAAAGCAUUGUUCAGUUCUUCUAUCAGCCUCUAAGAAUGAUUGCCUCAAAUAACCUUACAUUCUAUUCUCACAGCUUGUUUAAGAAUCGAGAAAGCAUAUAUUUUAGAAACCUAGUCAAAUACACAAUGCCAUGGUACUUGAAGUGGUGAAUUUCAGCUUCACAGAAAAGUCAUCAAAUGAUGCCAGAAAAAUCUAGAAGUUUCCAAAUUAGUGUUGGCCUCCCAGAAAGUUCAAACCCAGGGAGCACAGACAUCAGCUAUGUGUCGGAGGACAGCUUUGAUGCUGCAUAACAAACAGCGUGAUUUCACUCACACGCUGAAACCAUUUUCUCGAAAUCGAACUCUUAUUACUAAGUUAAUAGAAAAAAACUCCAAUUGAACUUUGGAGGAUUUUUUUCUAUUAUGGGAACAUUACAGAGUUCAAUUUGGUCAAAAAUGAGCACUGAAGGCUUUCAACAAUUUUCUAAUGGAGCUUAAAUUCACUUCUAAGAAUAGUCAUUAUGUGAUUGGCAAGGAAGGAGUACUUAAUUCCUGGAAAUGCGCUGAUGGAGAAACGACACCUUCCCUGGCAUCGGGGCCUGGAGCAGCAGGGCUGUGGUGGCCUAGAUAUCAGAACGAUUCCCCCGUGGACGCAGGAGUGGCACACGCUCUGUUGAAUCCACAUAUUGGGCACGCAGUGAACAUUUUCCCAAACAUCCUAAAUUUCCUUCCUAGGACGUGAGUUUAAGCUUGUAACUGGCCUGUUCACGGGAUUUGAAGGACCAUCUGAGUGUUCAUAUUCUGACAUCAAGGAAUGGGACUCCAUUCAAGGAUGUGGGUGAACCAAGGAAGAAAGAGCUUAUUAGCUUUGACAUUGGAGCCCAGGAGACAUAGACUACACAGCCCAGGCCUAUGGGCUGGGAAAUGUUGCCCUCUACUCAGAAGGUCAUGGGCUCUGCUCUCGUGAGCUGCCCCUCGUCCCUGCUCUGCCUCUACAUGCAUCCUAUGCUACUACAGCAAUGAGUAUUUUUAUGCAGUAAUAUAUGCGGCUCAAGUGAGUGCUGCUGUUACUUGCAGCUCCUUGAAAGUGCCAGCUCCUCACUAACUCUCUGUACAUUUCCACUUUCCAACAUUUGGGCUUGGAAAACACUUCCCCACAGUGCUACGUGGUCCUCUCUGGACUUAAUGCCUAAGACUCAGCACAAGCAGAGGUGGAAGUGAACAAAUACUGGAUGAGAGACCCAGGGGCACACGGUUUGUUCCCCCAAGUGUCUUCUGACCUAGUGAGGGAGAUGAGAAGCACUCCCACGGCGGAGACAAUUUUAUUUUCCACGUGGAUAUACAGCAACCUUGGAGGCCACAUGAAGAGGGCAGUCUCACAGGAUGGAAGAAGCCUGGGUCCUUCGAUGAUGUCGUGGAGCAGAGCCAUCCUUUCCCCUCCCACUGCCACCAUCAGCAAUUGGAUUGUGAUAUGAGUGAGCAAUAAAUUUCCUUGUUAAGCUAUUGAGUUUGUGGGGGGCAGGGGGAGGGGUCGUCUAUCACAGAAGCUAGUAUUACUUAUUCUUCCUAGGACUCUCACUGACAAUUACAACAUAAUUGUGUGUGUGAUGAAAGUUAUGCUAACUUAUGCAAGGAGGGGGCAGCCCCAUUUGGGGAUGGGAGUGGGUGAUGAAGGAAGGCUUCUGGGAUGAGGCUAUGUUUGGACUGAUUCUUGAAGGAUUACAAUAAUAGCUAAUAUGCAUUUGGUUCUUACUACAUUCCAGAUGCUGUGCUAAGAGCUUUGCCAGAUUAGCCUAUUUAAUCCUCCCAAUGACUCUCAGUAUUAUUGCCUUUUACAUCUGGAGAGAAUGAGGCCAGGAGAGGUUAAGUAACUUGCCCAUAGUCCCACAACUCUCAGUGGCAGAGCUGGAUAUCAAAUUCAGCAUGUUUAAGCACUACUCUGUACUGCCAGUAUGUGAGAAGGGUUUAGCCAACAUGGCAGUUACUUGGAGGGAGAAGAGAUGAGAUGCAAAAUACUUAGCAUCGCAUACAGGAGGGGAGCUGACCGUGGUGCUGAAGUGAAGGCCGCAUACUGGAGAGCUCUAGAGGGUCCUGAAGGACAGGCCAGGGUGGGUGAGGAGUGACACUCAGGGCAGACGUCCUAGCGGAGAGGCAUAGGAGAAUGUGAUAUAUUUGGGGAACCAUCAGUUGUUUGUGAACCCAUGCAGGGGCCUGAACAUUCUAGUUUUAGUUUAAACACAUGUACCCUCAAAGGCCUGUUGUCAAGUUUGUGGGGAGAGCAGCCGUGCACAGGGCUUGGCCUGUACUUGGAUAUGGCCUCUAUGACUGGCACAGAGGAUGCUCUCCCCGGAUACGUGUUGACUGAACAAACUCAUAAAUGAAACAUGCAGAUACGUCAUUUAGAAAAUAAAUGAAUCAGAAGCACAUACCCCAUUGCCCCAUUUGGCUACCUCCUUGCCUUUUCUGUUCCUAGACAUCCUGACACCCAGUGCCUCAUCUUUUCAGUGACUGAGGCUUUCUAUUCUGGUUCAGUAACUGCAGCCAUCACAGAAUUAAGUAAUGACAAAGUGGGUUAUUAUCCAGCCUGGCUUCAGCUGGGGAUGGAACCUGCAGCCGAGAUACCUCACUGUUGGGGUGCUCACAUGACUGUCUAGGCAGUGACAUGAAAAAUGUCCCCCAUAAUUCCUUAGCUCAGAGCCAUACAUCCUCAGAGUCUUGACUCCACACUUCGUGGGGAAUAAUGUUGUUUUGUUGAGAAGGGGAAGAGGGUGUAAUUAGAUUCCUCUUAAAUGUUACAUUCAUCCUUGUUAAUCAAAAAUUAGUAGCUCUUAAAAAAAAUAAACACAACUCAGCUCCCCAGGAAGCUGAUAGCAGUUCCCAGGGCCUGUUUAAUUACACAGAAUGAAACAAAAUGUGUACUUGUGUCUCUCAACUGUGGAAAUAACAAAAUGAAAUAUAAAGGUGGCCAUAUCUGGGUGGUGGGGAUUAGAGGUGAUUUUUAAUUUGCUUCUUUGUUCUGCUCUGUGUCUGUGAAUUUUUCUACAAUGAGCAUAUAUUGCUCAUUAAAAAAGCAUUUAAAGGAUUAAAAAAAGGGAAAUAUGAGAUUACAUUCUAAAAACCUGUAAACAAAAGAAAUAGGUGAAUACUUUUCCUAACCCCACUGCUCUCAUUCCACUCCCCAGAAGUAAGUGCUGUAGUUGGCUGGAUGCCUGCCCUUUCAGACAACUUCUGAGGCGUUUUCUAUUUUCUUCAUAACACUCACUAUAUCUGGAACCAUCCUCUUGUUUGUUUACUCAUGUAUUCCCUGACCAUUCCCCAAGAGGAAGGCCUUGUUUGCCUAAUUCCCACUACGUCUCCAACCACAGCACCUGGCGCACAGUAGGUGCUUAUUAAACAGUUGCUGAACCAACUAAAGGAUGAAAGGAUAUGUAUGGGGAGGAGAUGUGCUAUUAAGACCAACAGGGUCUUCCAAAGAGAGUGGGCCCCUCUUGGUCUUCUGACAUGUUUCCAUCUAUUAGAGGUGAGCUUGAAGGUCAUUGGGGGCAGGGGCUGGACAGACGUGAAUUGUUCUGCAGGAGGUCUUUGGUUUUGCUCUCAAGAGAGAACAGCGACACAGGCAAUAACAUGGAUGAACUCCCAAAUAAUUGUGCUGAGUGAAAGAAGCCAGAAAAAAGAGUAUGUACUCUAUGAUAUUCAAUUUAUAUGAAACUCUAGAAAAUGCACACGUAUCUAGAGUGACAGGAAGCAGAUCCGUGGUUACCCAGGGAUGGAUGGGGUGCGGGGGGGGGGGCAGGAAGGAGGACUACAAAGGGGCACUUUUGGGGGUGCUGGGUAUGUGCACUAUCUUGAUUAGGGUGAUAGUUUCAUGGGUGUGUACAUUAUGCCAGAACUUGUCAAAUUAUACACUUUAAAUACAUGUAGUUUAUUGUACGUCAAUCACAUCUCUAUAAAGCUGUUACAAAAAGAGAAUGGGGGGACUGCGAGGGGGAAAUUGGAAGAUAAGAAGAGUCCCAUAUAUGCUGACAUUGAGAUACUUUUGGGGGAUGAUGUGUCCUGUGAAAAAUACAGAGUGCUGGGACAGUGAGAAGAAUUUGCUGUUGAGGGCUAUCUGGGAGCUCAGAUUGGAGUAAUGUGCUGUGAUGUACCUGCUUCCUCCUCUCGCCUCCAAGCAUCCUCAAUAAAGUGGAUCACAUGUACCAAAUUCUGAUGAUGACAGUGAUUACGUGUGUGUAUGUGUGUGUGUGUGUGCGUGUGCCUGUGUGUGUGCAGAGGGAGAGGAAAAGGGCAAUGUGAUGUGUAAUGACUGGCAUGUACAGGAUAGUGAGACAAUUAAGAAACAGAAGUAACUUAUCAGCAGUGGAAACCUGGAGCCAGAAGCGACAGCGAGAAAUGACAGGGUCUCCUUCAACCCUCUGGAAAUUGCAUAAAUCUUGGGGAAGACUUUGGUCUUCUCUAAGGCAUGGAAUCAGGAUUUAUCACGAGUUUAUUUAGGUCUCAAGCACAGGCAGAUUCCACUUGACAUGUGGAUGUUGCCCCUACACUCAGUGGCUAUUUGUUGAAUGAAUAUAGGAGUAUUAUUUUGAUUUGUUCUACAACUACUGCUAUUUUGAGUACUGUCAACAAGAGGUAGGAUGAUGAUGGAUGGGUCAUCACUGGGGCUUAGAUCACCUUUCAUCUGAUUGGCAUGUUUCACAACACCUGUGUUUUGGGGUCUGUGUCUUACAAGUCAUGCAUUUUGCAAAUGUUGGCUGAUGGCUUGCAGUGGGGCAGGCACUGUACCAGAUGUUGAGAUGGAAACAGUAAAAGAGAUUCAAGCCUUCCUCAAAGAGCUCGCAGUGCAGAGUAGAAUACAGACGAAUAAAGACACCAUGAUACAGGAAGGGCCGUACUGCAGGGGUCAGCAAAGUAUGGCCCAAAGGCCAAAUCUGGCCCCCUCCCUGCUUGUGUAAAUAAAGUUUUAUUGGCAAACAGCCAUGCCUAUUCAUUGAUAUUAUGGCUCUCACGUUUCAACGGCAGAGCUGAGUAGUUGAGACAGAGACCACGUGGCCCGCAAAGCUGACAUUAUUUAUCAUCCGACGCAAUGAGGGCCCUGCUAGGGGUUUGCUGACUCCUGCUCUACUAGAAGACUAUUCAGAGCAAGAAGCUGGCACCGAAGCAACAAGUUCAGGAGUUACUGACCCUGUUUGGUAUCAAAUCCAGCUCUCGGCGUUCCACCCUAGUGGGCUCGGUUAGGUGUAAGAGUCUUCCUCGUGCUGCCUUUGUGGGUCAGUGAGAAGCAGAAUGGACCUCUAAGGGUAGCCCCUCUUUCCCAGCAGGAAGCACAAUACAGAUGCUCCUGGCCCUUCAUCAGCUUUCUAAGGCAGCAACAUCCUGAGCACCGGGUGGCAUCGUCUCC